rnacentral:rRNA from 1 species
UAGGGAAUAUUGGACAAUGGGUGAGAGCCUGAUCCAGCCAUGCCGCGUGCAGGAAGAAGGCGUUAUGCGUUGUAAACUGCUUUUUGCCAGGGGAUAAAAAGACCGUGCGCGGUUAAUUGAAGGUACCUGGUGAAUAAGCCACGGCUAACUACGUGCCAGCAGCCGCGGUAAUACGUAGGUGGCAAGCGUUGUCCGGAUUUAUUGGGUUUAAAGGGUGCGUAGGUGGCCCUGUAAGUCAGUGGUGAAAUCCCUGAGCUUAACUUAGGAAUUGCAUUCGAUACUGGGAAGCUAGAGUAUGGGAGAGGAUGGUAGAAUUCCAGGUGUAGCGGUGAAAUGCGUAGAGAUCUGGAGGAAUACCGAUGGCGAAGGCAGCCAUCUGGCCUAAUACUGACGCUGAGGUACGAAAGCAUGGGGAGCAAACAGGAUUAGAUACCCAAGUAGUCCCUGAGCGGGCUGGCAAGGCGCAU